AUUGAACGCUGGCGGCAGGCCUAACACAUGCAAGUCGAACGAGUGGCGGACGGGUGAGUAAUGUCUGGGAAACUGCCCGAUGGAGGGGGGUAACUACUGGAAACGGUAGCUAAUACCGCAUACCAUCGGAUGAGCCCAGAUGGGAUUAGCUAGUGGGUGGGGUAACGGCUCACCUAGGCGACGAUCCCUAGCGGGUCUGAGAGGAUGACCGGCCAACCUGGAACGGGGACCCGGUCCAGACUCCUACGGGAGGCAGCAGUGGGGAAUAUUGCACAAGGGGCGCAAGCCUGAUGCAGCCAGGCCGCGUGUAUGAAGAAGGUCUUCGGGUUGUAAAGUACUUUCAGCGAGGAGGCGUUACUCGCAGAGGAAGCACCGGCUAACUCCGUGCCAGCAGCCGCGGUAAUAC
rnacentral:rRNA from 1 species